rnacentral:sRNA from 1 species
CUGUCACAUUUUCAUCAUUCUAAAAUGUUAUAAGAGCUAUAGCCUCACAGACCCCAGCAUCUCUCCCGCAUUCAUGUCCUCUCCCCACGACCGCCUCAUGGCCCGGUCCCACACGGUCCAAGCCUCCUGGCCAGAACACCACUCUCAACAUCUUGAACCUGUCCCAGAAAGAAAUCAAAGUGCUGUCGCUGAAGUGUAAAAGCUCGCCUGUUAUAGGAGGGAUAGAUGGAGGAGGAGGGAGGUGGGAAUACGAGUAAAGGUGGACAAAGUAUCGACGGCGGAUGGCGUUGGUGGAGCGCGAAAGCCAGUCAGCUUGUGGGGCGAGGGGAGCUGAGAAAAAUUCUUUGAAUAGUAACGGAUUGGAUAUCUCUGUAUAGCGCUCGUGGGCAAGAAUCAGGAAAUGCUGGGGCGAUGGUGUUAUCAACAAGUCGUUGAAGAAAUCCGAGUCGGCCGUCUUGAUAUUCAGCGUUUCUUUCCCCUGGGGCCCUAACUGCACGUUAUCUCUAUCACCCUCAAAUUCAAUCUCCAGCCUGACUCUCAAUUCUUCUGCCCGUCCUGCCGCCCACUUGCAGACCACCUCUUGUGCCCUCUUUUCUAUAGACGUUAUCGGGGAUUUCUGGAGAGGCACACCCACCCCAUGCUCAUCUUUCUCAGGCUGAUUGAACAUAUCCGUCGAAAAAGAGUUGAUCGGUUCUGGUCUAGGGUAAAGCGCAAGGUUCUUUCGGUAAUGGAGGAUAUAAGCCUGCCAAUUGGUCCUGGCCCUCACUAGGAACAGUGUACCCGGCCAUUUUGUCAACGCCCACAAAACAUCAACAACCGACUUCAUCCCUCGUUCAAGCCUAAGCGGCGGUGACGGUCCAGAGAUCGAGUUAGCCAUGAAUUUGAUCUUCUUGUCGGUCGAAAGCACUCUCAAGAAGAUUUUGAAACUGGGCACAAAGCCAGGGAUUUUGGUGUGCCCAACAGGGAAGGGGUUAAUGAUGUCAACUCGGUAAUAACCAUCUCGCGAGUUGAACGGGGAAACGUGGAAUGAUCGGGGAAUAGUGAAACCAAAGUCGUAACUGAUCGUCUGUCAGACCCUUUGAAAUAUAUCCCACCAGCAAACGAACGUACCCCUUGGCUGGCUCGUGUCUCAAGGGUGAAUCUGGUGUGAGGGUGUAAGAAUGACUAUGUAUAUCGGUUAGCAUCGUCUGGCCAGGAUCAGAUGAGUUAACUUGCGAUUCGUCAAAGGCACUGUGUACCUCCAGCACAAUAGCCAAGAGCUCCCCUUCCUUCCCCUCUGUAGCUUUCUCAUAGAUGUACCACGUAGUCAAAGGGUUAUCUCCUUCAUAUCCGAGCAGACUAGGCAUCGUUGUCAACCAGACCUUUCCCAUUCUUUCUUUUGCUAUGCCAUGCUUGCUCAAUAGUUUUUCGAGCUUUUCACGAUACGUCUCACUACCCUUUGUGAGGUAUUUCUCUGCUCUCAAGCCCAGUAUUUUGCAAAAGGGACUCCCACCAUACUUGAAGAGUCGAAAAGGCAAGUCGAGACACCCACUCGUAAGAGAGUCGAUAUCGACGGCAAGAUGGAGACAAGGGUAGCUAAAGGCAUUGCGUGAUGAAGCAGGUAAAAGCCGGCCAUGAGUUGCUAUUGAUGGAACAAGAUAUGACGGGAGGGCAUCAUGCUUAGACUUUGGUCUGGACGCGAGAGUGGAUACUAGAAGAUGGACCGUAAAGGCAGAAAGCCCAAGUGGGAAGAGGAGAGGCAGCGAUAGGAAGGAAGACAUGAUUAGUGGUCCUAUUCGUU